rnacentral:lncRNA from 1 species
UUCACACUCUUGCUUUCUAUUCCGUUUAGGGCACAAGCUGCCUUCGUCUGCAUUUUGCUUGGUCCGAACGCAACUCUUGUAGUGUGAUGCUGCUACUGCAGUAGUGUUUUAGACCCAUCAAUCGAAUCUUCCAUUGUAAAUACCUUGAAAGUCGUAGUACCUAGGAAUUGGAGUAGGCCAGCAAGAGACUCUUAGCUGAAACACCCUCCAACUGGGUUCAUAGAACUUUAACUUUACUGUAGAAAAGAAGUCUAACUCUGGCUCUCCCGUCAUCCCCAUACUCGA